rnacentral:sRNA from 1 species
UGCCCCAGGAGAGGUUGAUCUGAAGCCACUCUGCUCUUUGUCACCUUCACUGAAAACUUGGUUAAAGAGUAUGAGGAAGAUGAGACCAGCUGUAAGUCUGAGCCCCGGUCUUGGUAAGGGAGGACCUAGGGGACUGGAGGAGACAUUCCAUUUAACUCCCGUUCUUUCCCAUCAGGCCUGUAACUGGAGGGUGUCCUGGGCAACCUCUGAGAGAGGCCUGAGGCCUCCUGUUGGGCCAUUGCAUAGCUCUGGAAAUGUUAUUUCCGUGAACUGCAAGAUAAGAGGAACUGGUCAAAGGUAACAGAGAAAGGUUGGCUAGACAAGGCCACCAUAGAAACUCUUUGCAACCCUUUUCUCCAACUGGCUCUCUGAGUGUGGAAGCUGCUGAGACUUGGCCACUAGGCAAGAUGAACUGAGAAAACCAUUCAUAGAGAAUACUGAACUAUCUGCCACACACUGUAGGUCACCUGACCACUCUCAACCUCUUCUAACUGACACUUGAUUUGAAGAUUCCGGGGUGACUUCGAACUUGACUCAGACUGCUAUCAUUCCCAUCUACGGGGCACCGGGAGACAGUUCUGAGUGGACACAGUGGCCCCUGCCUUUUGGCAUCUGGGAGAGGCCAAGCACAGUUGUGCUGGCGCCAUGUUUGCCCUAGAGACUGUACCACGUGGUCCUCUUCACUAUGCUCUCAGAGGAUACUUAAGCUGUUAGACUACAGACAAAGGCAAGAUGAAUGAUGUUUGUGUAGUAUAUCUCUAUUUCCAGUUCUACAGGGAGCCUGUCCUGGACAAACUGACAGAUGUCUCUCAGUAAAUAGACAGGAGGAGCAGUGGUAUCUAAGCAUAAAACUCUUCGAACAUGGAGUCUGAAGGAUGGACUGACCGUUUGCAAUGAUAUCUCCUAGCAACCAUCAAAUCCACAACAAUGUAUUGAGUACCUGCAGAGCAGGCCUCUUUAUGAUUGGUGUCUAAAGUUAUCACAUUGAAAUGGUGGGCCCUCCAUGUUCCAAGUCUCAAAGUACUUGCACAUACAUCUGUCGCUCAACAAAACUCAGGGAGUCACCUAAGACCCUGUUGUCACCCCUAUGUGUAGCCAACAAUAAACACAAGUGACAGCUGUGGUUUAUUAAAGACUGUGUUCCACACACUCUUACACAUGCUAACUUGUUCGCCAUCAUAGUGGCUUUGUGUGAUUGUUCUCA